ACACUAGUGAAAUUGGUGCUUAGCGCGAUCCCGCUACACCAGCUGCUUGUGUUGGCGCCCCCAAAGAGGAUCCUCCGCAUGCUCGAGCGUAUCCAGCGCGGGUUCGUUUGGGCCGGGCGCGCCGAGGCUAAAGGAGGCCACUGCCAUGUCAACUGCCGCCGGGUCGCGCUCCCCAGGAGCCUUGGCGGAUUGGGAGUGCAUGACCUAGAGCGCACCGGCAUGGCGCUCAGGACCCGUUGGCUCUGGUUCAGCAAAAUCGACGAGCGCCAUGCAUGGGCUGGUCUCGGCCUCCAGUUCCCUACCGAGGAGCAGGCCUUCUUCUUCGCCAGCACCCACACGUCCAAUGGGAACGGCCAUAACACCAAAUUUUGGGAAGACCGGUGGAUCAAUGGGCGCUUCGUUGGCGAGAUUGCCCCCUUGCUGCAUGCCUACAUCCCAAAACGGCAAAGGAAGAACAGGACGAUCGCUGAGGGCCUAUAAGCCCACCUCUGGGCGCGCGACAUCCACGGCGUCCUGGGAGUUCACGAGAUCGGUCAGUACUUGUUGCUUUGGCGACUCCUCGAGGGUAUUGCCCUCUCCGCCGAGCCUGACAAGCUGAUUUGGAAGUGA
rnacentral:rRNA from 1 species